rnacentral:rRNA from 1 species
GAUGAACGCUGGCGGCGUGCCUAAUACAUGCAGGUCGAGCGAACAGAUGAGGAGCUUGCUCCUCUGACGUUAGCGGCGGGCGGGUGAGUAACAAGUGGAUAACCUACCUAUAAGACUGGGAUAACUUCGGGAAACCGGAGCUAAUACCGGAUAAUAUAUUGAACCGCAUGGUUCAAUAGUGAAAGACGGUUUUGCUGUCACUUAUAGAUGGAUCCGCGCCGCAUUAGCUAGUUGGUAAGGUAACGGCUUACCAAGGCAACGAUGCGUAGCCGACCUGAGAGGGUGAUCGGCCACACUGGAACUGAGACACGGUCCAGACUCCUACAGGAGGCAGCAGUAGGGAAUCUUCCGCAAUGGGCGAGAGCCUGACGGAGCAACGCCGCGUGAGUGAUGAAGGUCUUCGGAUCGUAAAACUCUGUUAUUAGGGAAGAACAAAUGUGUAAGUAUCUAUGCACGUCUUGACGGUACCUUAUCAGAAAGCCACGGCUAACUACGUG